UUGUUGUGAUUUGGACACCUGCAGAGUAAUAAUUUGAACCUCUCCUAUGUAUCACAUUAAGACUCAGCAUCACCUUGUUCAAAAUUAGAAAUCUCUUAUCUUCUCCC